ensembl:lncRNA
CAAACGGCUGAGACCGGUUAAUGGACUACAGCUGCCAGCAUGCGCAGCGAGGGGCUCCACCUGCCGCCGCGCCACUCCGUGCGCCGAGGGCGGUUCCAGCACGCCCCGCGGAGGCCGGAUGACCCCCAAGUCACGCCCACGUGACCCAGCGAGGCCCGGCGGGCCCAGAGCGGCGGGAUUCGUUUUGAUAUCGUGGUCCUGCGUCUCCGCGAGACGCCGCUGGGGCGACUUGUCGUGGCGGAAGUUGGACUUCUCGCAGACAACUGCAAGGAUCCUCCCUCUGGACCGGGUGGUCAGGCUCGCUCCAGAGCUGGCUUUGGACUCCGGCUGGCUGAACGGUCCACUCCUUGGUCAGACCUCUUGGAAGGACUGCCCCAGCCAUGUUAUAAAAGGAGGAAACGUCACAGUGGGCAGCCCCCAUUCCUGCGUUAGACAGACAGGAAACAGGCGCACAGUUCUGCAUUGCUACCUGCUUGUCAAAUGAGUAUUGGCCACCCCAGUUCUGUGCAGAGAGGAUGCAAAACAGCAGAGUAUCUGUGGUGCAACUUUCUGGAGCAUCAAUUUUACUACAACGUUUGGAAGAAACAAAGUUAAGUAGUUUCCAAGAUUCCUCUCCAGUUACCAUCGGCUUCUCUGCUCCGUUCAAGCGGCCUCUCCUCACGUUCUCUCCUGAACCGAUUCCAUUCCUGCUUCCUCCACUGCACUUCGCUGAAGUGGCUUGUAGCCAGGUCUCCAAUGAUUUCCGUUUUGCUCAAUUCAAGCCAUUCUUCACUCAGCAUGCAGAGUGACCUCUUGAAAGCAUGAAGAGCAAGGAUAUGCACCACCCACCUCCCCAUUCAAAUUCUGCCACUGCUUCUCAUUGUGAGAGAAUAAGAGCUUAGACAACCUGGCCCCUGCCUGCUCCUUCAGCCUCCUCUCCUACCUUCUUGUUGAGACUUACAUGUGAGAUGUUCUGGUAUCUAGAACUGAAAGCAAUCUUAACUCACAAAUAGAUAUCAGAUCAUCGAAUCUAGAGCAAAGGGCAUAGAAGGAAAAGUUGAAGGGAGAAUGAAAGGUGAGAAUUUUUUAAGCGCCAGAAACUAUGAACACAUAACAGAUCUGUAUGAAUAUGCUCAAAAGAAUGUGGUAACAAAGUUAAAAAAAAGUGUGUCAACAGACUUGCAAAGAAGUAGAAAUACUUUUGACCAUAAUUUGCAAACAAAAACUACACUUAGUACACAUUACAUUUCCGGACGUAAUGCAAUAAAAUUAGAAAUAACAGAAAUAGAGAACUUCAAAAUGUUCAGCUUUUUGGAAAUGUUAAAAUAUUGUUGUAAAUAAGUUAAUUCUUGUGUGAGGGUUCAUAUCCACAAAACAAUUACAGUGCCUGUACACACACGAGCUUGCUGAUGCAUCCAGAUGUGUGCAGUGGUGGGGAAAGGACGAGCUCUCUGACCCAGAAGCUUCUGGAACAACAGGGCCUCUGCACACACGAGCUUGCUGAUACAUCCAGAUGUGUGCAGUGGUAGGAAAGGAUGAGCUCUCUGACCCAGAAGCUCCUGGAGUGACAGUGCCUGUGAACACAUGAGCUCGCUGAUGCGUCCAGAUGUGUAUAGUGGUAGGAAAGGAGCUCUCUGUCCAGAAGCUCUUGGAGCGCCAGUGCCUGUGCACACACGAGCUUGCUGAUGCAUCCAGAUGUGUGCAGUGGUGGGGAAAGGACGAGCUCUCUGACCCAGAAGCUCUUGGAGCGACAGUGCCUGUGCGCACACGUGCUUGCUGAUGCGUCCAGAUGUGUGCAGUGACGGGAAAGGAGCUCUCUGACCAGAAGCUCCUGGAACGACAGGGUCAGUGCACACACAAGCUUGCUGAUGCAUCCAGAUGUGUGCAGUGGUGGGAAGGACGAGCUCUCUGACCUAGAAGCUCCUGGAGUGACAGGGUGAUGUUCAUCGGAACCCCAGCAACCCCCUGUGUCAUUUACCAUAUUGUGACCAGUGGGAGCCGGGUGGAGGUGGCCGGGAACUGUAACUGUUACAGAUGCUGGUCAUAAACCCAAGGCCGCCUCCCUUGGUGCCUGCCCUUGACCCUGCUGUUGUUUCCUGCACUGGGGUUCCCGGAAGCCCCACCGCUGGACCUGUGCUGGUGGACAGGACCAGACUGCCCUCUGAUGGCAGCAGUUUGAAAACUGGCACCAGCAGCUGCCGUGGAAAAAAGUGAUGGCCCAGGAGACUGUGUGACCCUCCCACGGAGGGAUCAGGAUCCCAGCAGGGCUCCCGGGCAGGGCUCAGAGCCCGUCUGCUUCCUGCCCUUUCUCCUCUGCUGCUCUCCUCUGACUAUGGGAGUCGGGGAAGCAAACAGUCAUGAAAAAUGGCACUUCUAUUGGCUGUGUCUGUAUGUGGAAGUGCACAAAUGAAGGAAGAUUUUAAAGCAGAACACAGAACAAUUUGUGCUGUCUGAUUAAAAUCUGUCAGAUAUGUUCAUUAACAAGUUUGGAAGAGAAUUUGGAAAUGGCUGAAAUUUUUAAUAAAGUUCAUUCUUUUAGUUUGUUUGAAUUUAAAAAGAUACGUUUAGAAAUAAAUUUGGCCCAUAAAAAAAUUAAAUCUUAGCUAUCCAGAAAUUCAAGUAUCUAGAAUAAGGUACUUCCCAAAGGUCUGUGUAACUCAGAUUUUACUAUAGCUUGAAAACUACUAAUGUAUAAUGUAGCUGAUGAAAUAAUACAUAUUCCCACAGAAAAGAGCAAUAACUAAUAUAUAUAAUAACAUAUAUGAUAAUAUAGCAAUUGCAGCAAUAUAUUAAUUAUAUAACAAUAAUGUAUCUAUCAAAAAUCGAACACCCAUCAUGAGUCAGGCACUGCAAUAAGCACUUUAUAUUAUCUCACAAGAAUUCUCUCUGAGGCAGGUUUCACUGUCUUCAAUUUAGAGGGUAAUUAAUAAGUAAUACAUAGAAUUGAAGGAGAAACUAUUUAGAACAUGGAAGGCUGUCAAAAAUAAUGUGUUGAAUGAAAAACUCAAGUUACGGAAGUACAGCACGUUUGUGGAAAGGUUUUUUUUGGCUGACGAAGAUUGUCGCUGAGCUAACAUCUGUG